rnacentral:lncRNA from 1 species
CUGUGUGGAGGAUUCUUUAUAUUGGUGUCUGAUUGUGAUCUCUUCCUCUGCCAUUUGUCGUUUUUCUUCAGAACUGGGUUGACCAUAUUAACACCGUCAACCACACUGCCGCAUGCAGAGACCUGCGCAACAAGUACCCUGACUGGAAACCAAAUCUACCACGUCGGAGCGGACGAUACGGCAGCCGGGCUCUGUGGGAUCCAAAAGAUCACUCUCCAUCCCAUUCUGUGUCUCCAUCCCUCUCUUGUUCUCCCACCCCAAGUCCUCCUCAAGGCAAUCAGAGGGUGGGCCCCCAUAGACCGCACACAGGGCCUUACUCUCCUCACCAUCAACCUCGCCACCAACACUACACAGGUAGACCGCUUGCUAGAGAGUGGCACAAUGAAUGCCAAUGAUGUUAAUAACAUGACAUGAAUCAUUUGGGUUUUAACAUUGUUAAAUAUUAGCUCUUAAUGUUAGAAAUAAAAGAAGGGAUUUUGUGAUAUUGGUCUAUUCUGUGGAUUUAGAAAGGUCUUUGUUGGCUUUAUUAUCUCUGAUUUCCCAUCCAUUGUUCAUUGUACGCCUUGGUACUGAAGACACAUCAGAUGUAUAAAAAAAAAUAGCAUCAUUGUGUUCUUUUAAAACAGUGAUAUAGUUUUGUAAUGCACAUUGUGAUCGUUAAAUAGCCCAAUGGUUCAUAUAAAUAGGCAGUUUACUAAAUAGUUCAACAUACUUUAUUGCUUCCUUUAUUCUGGGGAUGAAGAGAGGUUAUCCUCAACAGAUUUAUAUGGGCCUUCCUCUCCACGGAUACUACACACAAAUAAGAUUUGGUGCAGGUUAUAAUAAAUAAUUAUCUAGUUCUCAAACAUAGCAAAAUGUGACUGACAUUACUAAUUUCAAUGCAGGGUUACUGUCUGCACUGUGCUUUAUUGGGCAUUGGACUUGGUAACUUGUGACUGAGUACUCAACCAUCUUCAUCUGCUAUCCUCAGAACACAGCCAUCGGUUGGAGAACAGUCCCUCUCGCUCACAUCAAAUCUCCCCAUUCUCCAGAGGGCAUUGGCCUGAGAAGAGAGACAGGGAAUCAUCAGGUAAGUCAUUGUGUAUGAUAUGAUAUAUAUUUAAAGAGUAUUUGUUGGCAUUUUGAGUUUAUUUGAGAGCUGAUGGUGAAGGGAGACAGGAAACAUGGAGAGAAGGAGGGGCUUGACAUGCAACAAGGUUCCCA